AAACCGUUGAAAGGGAAGCGAAUGGAGUUAGCAAUUCGCCCCGCCAGAUUCAGCCUUCGACGCGCCACGCGGCGCCCGACCUCGAUCUUCGUAGACGAGGCGGGUGCGGGCGGGGCGCGCCGGUGGCGCACUUCUGGCGGGCGAGCGUCAACGAGGGUUGGCCGCCGACUAGAAGGCCGCGGGGAAGGUGGACCGGCCUUCGGGCGGGUUGUAUAAAGCCCCGCGAUCGCAUGGCCGGCGGGCGACCGUGGCAAGCGCCGCGACGCGUGCUCCGUCCCAUUCAGGGACAACGGGGCUGGUGGCCCGUUCUGUUGGUCCGGCUGUCGACUGCGGCGGACGGCGCGCCAGUGCGCUCGAACUGCUGCCGGUCAACAGGGCGGUGACUACACACGACGCGUCGAGGUCGUUGACGACCAUACGGCUCUAUCCGACCCGUCUUGAAACACGGACCAAGGAGUCUAGCAUGUGCGCGAGUCUGUGGGUGAUCGAAACCCGUCGGCGCAAUGAAAGUAAAGGCGACGUCACGUCGCUGAGGUGAGAAGCGGCACCCGUCGCGGGGCCGCCGCAUCAUCGACCGACCUGUUCUACUCUUAGAGAGGUUUGAGUAAGAGCGCACCUGUUGGGACCCGAAAGAUGGUGAACUAUGCCUGAAUAGGGUGAAGCCAGCGGAAACACUGGUGGAAGCUCGUAGCGAUUCUGACGUGCAAAUCGAUCGUCGAAUUUGGGUAUAGCGGCGAAAGACUAAUCGAACCAUCUAGUAGCUGGUUCCCUCCGAAGUUUCCCUUAGGAUAGCUGGAGCUCGGAUGCAGU
rnacentral:rRNA from 2 species